UAUGAUAAAAAGCAGAACAUUCCGAAAUUUAAAACAAGGAACCUUAAUUCGUCACACUGUUAACAUAAGGACUGUAAAUUAUACAGGGCAGAGGCAAUGCGACAAAGCAACAUGAAAAUGCAACGCAGUAAAAGUAUCAAAUAUUAUCUGUAUAUUGCAAUAUAUAGUACUGACAGAUCGAAGCAACACAACAAAGCGAUGUGAACAGAAAAAGAAGACUGUGAGAGACAAUAUGAGUUUUAAACACUUUAUUAUAGGAAAAUGAAAAAACUGUACUUACUGUCAAUGAUUCAAAUACAAUGUAAUGCACAUAAAAGUUAGGUAAAAACUGUACCUAAGGAAAUGUUUAAAAAAAGCAAACAGUUCUUAAAAGAUUAAACAACUGAAUUGUACUUGAGAAAUGGUUCUUUCGUAUACCACUAGAGGGAGCCCGCAUUCCACGCUUUUACAAUCACUGCUCUAAACCAAGAGGGGGCGCCAAAUAGCUAGAAAGUCAAGGAGCAUUCUGGGUACCGUUUUCUGUUGAUCAAAGAAGGUCCGUGUCACCUCCCCUGUUAAUGCAUCUUGCAACUGAAUGGACCGGAAAGUGGAGCGCUUAGAUUUCAACUAACAUGAUCGCGACAGUGCUGAUAUUCGCCCAACUGCAGACCGGAAGUAAGGACUCAAGAACAUGUAGAAGAAAAAAUAAUAAUAAUCAAAAAAAAAAAAAAAAAAGAAUCACGUGGCAUUGUUUAAUACCCUUUGUGCUCUUUCCCACGGCGGCAGCAUCGGACGUCGUAAGGGUGCACCAAACACCGCCGUUCAUCGUAAAGAGACUCGGCGAAGACGCCGCCAAAGAAAUAAGAUGCUCGCACAACGUCAAGGAUGACAAUGUCAUCAUCCUCUGGUUACAAGCACUAUGGAGCGCCUGGGCUAUCAUAAAUGGAUGCUCGCUCAAUCCGGCUUUCCAAAAAUCAAUUAAUGUAAAAUAUCACAAUAAAAGUGCACAUCACAUCAAAUUAAUAGUUGAUUGAUUAUGUCUUUUAGUUGAUUAAAUGUUGAAAGGCCAACAUACUGUACAACACUACAGCUGUUGUCGUUUUGAUUCGUCCUUUACUUUGUAAACCCACUUACAUUGUCUAUCAUUACAUUAUUAUGUUUCAUACAAUACAGUGCUAUUUUCUUUUAUGAAAAAUGUAUCAGUAACAAAUGUGUUUUUUUGGGGGGGUUGGGGGGCUGGAACGGAUUAAUGUCAUUUUAAUUCAUUUCAGUGGGUAAUACUGAUUUGAUAUUUUAGUAAAUUUGCAUUACGAGCUUGGUCACGUAACGGAUGAAAUUUGUAAGUCAAGGUACCACUGUAUUUGCUUAAUCAUAAAUAAGAUAACAAAGCCUUCAUUAGUCCCACAAUGAGGAAAUUUGCAACGCGAACAAAGGCGCUCAAGAUUUGAAAUUGUGGGAGUGGGGGGAACUCGUGCGCCGGAAAAAAAAAAAAAAAAGAAAUAUAUAUAUAUAAAAAUUAUAAAAGUUCAAUACAACUGAACUAUACUUGGGCAGUGAUUCUUUUGCAUACCAGUAGAGGGAGCCUGCGCGCCAUCCUUUGAGAAUCGCUGCUUUACACCAACAGGGGGCGCCAAACAUCAGCUAGAAAGUCAAGCAGCAUUCUGGGUACUUUUUUCUGUUGAUAAACGGAGGUCGGUGACAGCCCUCCUGUUAAUCCGACGGCAUUUUCAAGGACCGGACGGGCAACGUGGCGCUAUCACAUUUCAAGUAACAUGAUAGCAACAGCGCUCGUACUUGUCCUGCUGGAGACUGUAGCAGCAGCAUCGGACCCGGCAUUGAAGGUGCACCAAACACCGCCGUUCAUCACAAAGAGACUCGGGGAAGACACCACCAACGAAAUAAGCUGCUCACAUAGCAUCACAGAUUACGACGUCAACCUCUGGUACAAGCAAGACCGGGGUGGCACUAUGGAGCUCCUGGGCUACCUCAAUCAGAACCUCCCUUGGCUUGAGGACCACUGGAAAGGGAAGGUCGACUUUAGCGGAAAUGCCCGCCAACGGUCCGACCUGACCAUCGCCAACCUGAGCUUAAACGACAGUGCGGUGUACUUCUGCGCAGCGAGCACGGCGCUGCAGAUUGGCUCACCAGCCGUCAAAAAACAGGCAACCCUCGCUUAUCUGGGUUUAAUAUCAAAACUAACACCUGCGGCAUCCGACUCCAUCGCUUUCAUUAUGAAUUCUGAAAAUAUCAUUUGA